GGUUGCGAUCAUACCAGCACUAAUGCAUCGGAUCCCAUCAGAACUCCGCAGUUAAGCGUGCUUGGGCGAGAGUAGUACUAGGAUGGGUGACCCAAUUGGAAGUCCUCGUGUUGCAACCCC
rnacentral:rRNA from 1 species